UACGUAGGGGGCGAGCGUUGUCCGGAUUUAUUGGGCGUAAAGAGCGCGUAGGCGGUCCGGUAAGUCCGCUCUGAAAGUCCGGGGCUCAACCCCGGGAGGCGGGCGGAUACUGUCGGGCUAGAGUCCGGAAGAGGCGAGUGGAAUUCCUGGUGUAGCGGUGAAAUGCGCAGAUAUCAGGAGGAACACCAAUGGCGAAGGCAGCUCGCUGGGACGGUACUGACGCUGAGGCGCGAAAGCGUGGGGAGCAAACAGG
rnacentral:rRNA from 1 species